rnacentral:rRNA from 1 species
CGGACGGGUGAGUAACGCGUGAGAAUCUACCUUUAGGACGGGGACAACAAUUGGAAACGAUUGCUAAUACCCGAUAUGCCCUUCGGGGUGAAAUGUUUUAUCGCCUGAAGAUGAGCUCGCGUCCGAUUAGCUAGUAGGUAGUGUAAUGGACUACCUAGGCGAUGAUCGGUAGCUGGUUUGAGAGGACAAUCAGCCACACUGGGACUGAGACACGGCCCAGACUCCUACGGGAGGCAGCAGUGGGGAAUUUUCCGCAAUGGGCGCAAGCCUGACGGAGCAAUACCGCGUGGGGGAGGAAGGUCUGUGGAUUGUAAACCCCUUUUCUCAGGGAAGAAGCUCUGACGGUACCUGAGGAAUCAGCAUCGGCUAACUCCGUGCCAGCAGCCGCGGUAAUACGGAGGAUGCAAGCGUUAUCCGGAAUUAUUGGGCGUAAAGCGUCCGCAGGCGGCUAGAUAAGUCUGCUUUCAAAGAGUGGGGCUCAACCCCAUAGGGGGAGUGGAAACUGUUUAGCUAGAGUAUGGUAGGGGCAGAGGGAAUUCCCAGUGUAGCGGUGAAAUGCGUAGAUAUUGGGAAGAACACCAGUGGCGAAGGCGCUCUGCUGGACCGAGACUGACGCUGAGGGACGAAAGCUAGGGGAGCGAAAGGGAUUAGAUACCCCUGUAGUC